AAUCAACGCUGGCGGCGUGCCUAACACAUGCAAGUCGAACGCGAAAGUCCCGCAAGGGAUGAGUAGAGUGGCAAACGGGUGAGUAACGCGUGGGUGACCUGCCUUCGAGUGGGGGAUAACGUUCCGAAAGGGACGCUAAUACCGCAUGACAUCCUGCCUUUGAAGAGGCGGAGAUCAAAGCCGGGGAUCGCAAGACCUGGCGCUUGACGAGGGGCCCGCGUCUGAUUAGCAGUUGGUGGGGUAAUGGCUCACCAAGGCAACGAUCAGUAUCCGGCCUGAGAGGGCGGACGGACACACUGGGACUGAGACACGGCCCAGACUCCUACGGGAGGCAGCAGUGGGGAAUUGUUCGCAAUGGGCGCAAGCCUGACGACGCAACGCCGCGU
rnacentral:rRNA from 1 species